ensembl:lncRNA novel transcript, antisense to CADPS2
CGCAGCUUGCACAGAAGGUAUGGGAAUGGCAUUACUGCUUUAUUCUUUGCCUUGGUCUACACAGGAAUAAAGCAAAGAAGAAACUGGUGCCUAAGGUCACACUGAUAAUAGAUGAAGUGAUGGAGCAAGGAUUCAACCGCCAGCAGUUCGGUUCCUCAGCCUGCAGAGUCCUUGGAGAUAUACCAGAGUACAAGGAAGGAAGAGAAUGACAGAAUGGAAAGGGACAUCACCAGGUUUGCAUUGUGAUCACCACGCUAUGCAUCUACAUCCCUGUUGUGAUGCUGUGGUUCAAAUCUGUCAGCAGAACUAAGGCAGGACAAUCACUCCUGCAAUUCUACUUAAAUUGCAAAACAGCAAUGUGGUUUAUUGGAAAAUGUCCAGGUCUGGAGCCUGGCCUGAGUCUUCACCCAAUCACUCACUAGCUGUGCAUCUGUGGGUUUCAUUCUACUCCAUGGCUUAGAAAGGGGCAUAUCUCCUGGCACACUGGACUGGGCUGCCUCCCUUGCUGCUAUUCCCUGUCAAAGUCCCCGUGAUGGAUGCACAGUGAUGCUCAUGGUGAAGCUUAUACCAGGAUGUGGGAAGAAGACCACUAAUGACUAUAUAUCAGAUGGAUAAUGAAAAAGUCCUGACGUUCAGGAGAUGGCUGAGGAGAAUGUUUGCCUGUGAACAAUGGGGAUACAGGCAAGGCAGAGCACAGC